rnacentral:misc_RNA from 1 species
GAUGAAGAACGUAGCGAAAUGCGAUAGGUAAUGUGAAUUGCAGAAUUCAGUGAAUCAUCGAAUCUUUGAACGCACAUUGCGCCCUUUGGUAUUCCGAAGGGCAUGCCUGUUCGAGCGUCAUUAUCACCCCUCAAGCCCUCGGCUUGGUGUUGGACGGUUUGGUGGAGGCCCCCUCGGGGGCUCCUGCCCCUCCCAAAGACAAUGACGGCGGCCUCGUUGGACCCCCGGUACACUGAGUUCUUCACGGGACACGUAUCGGACACAUGGGUUUACGGGACACGGUCUGCCUCCCCUCAGGGAGAAUCUUUCUAAGGUUGACCUCGGAUCAGGUAGGGAUACCCGCUGAACUUAAGCAUAUCAAUAAGCGGAGGA